AAAUUGAAGAGUUUGAUCAUGGCUCAGAUUGAACGCUGGCGGCAGGCCUAACACAUGCAAGUCGAACGGUAACAGGAAACAGCUUGCUGUUUCGCUGACGAGUGGCGGACGGGUGAGUAAUGUCUGGGAAACUGCCUGAUGGAGGGGGAUAACUACUGGAAACGGUAGCUAAUACCGCAUAAUGUCGCAAGACUAAAGAGGGGGACCUUCGGGCCUCUUGCCAUCGGAUGUGCCCAGAUGGGAUUAGCUAGUAGGUGGGGUAACGGCUCACCUAGGCGACGAUCCCUAGCUGGUCUGAGAGGAUGACCAGCCACACUGGAACUGAGACACGGUCCAGACUCCUACGGGAGGCAGCAGUGGGGAAUAUUGCACAAUGGGCGCAAGCCUGAUGCAGCCAUGCCGCGUGUAUGAAGAAGGCCUUCGGGUUGUAAAGUACUUUCAGCGGGGAGGAAGGGAGUAAAGUUAAUACCUUUACUCAUUGACGUUACCCGCAGAA
rnacentral:rRNA from 1 species